UUUGUAAAUUGUUUUUGUUAAUUACAUAGCUUGUGUGCUUUGAUAGUAAAAAAGGUGUUGGAUAUUGGGCUUAAACAUAUGGUUGUUGGAUAUUGGACUUACACAUGUAGUUCAAUUGACAAAUACGCAGCCCACAAAAUAAAAGAUGUUUUCUGAUUGGUUGAUUUUUAAGCUACAUGGCAUACUUCCCAACUAAAUGUAUUUGAUUUUUAGUAUUUGUAGAAAUUUAAUACUCUUUUUGCCGCUCCAUAGUUAAUUACUGGAUUAUAUAUUGACUAGAAUCUAGGAGAAUUUAAACAGAAACUUUUCUUUUGUCAACAAUUCAAAAGGAAAUAAUGUUAGAUUCUCUACAAUCUUUGAACAAUAAUUUUUUCUAUUUUAACGUAUACGUGUUAUUAUUGUAUAUAUAAACAGAAAGUAAAGAAGAAUUCACCAACAAAAAAAAAACUUAAAGCAAAUUUCUCAAAAAAAGUUUUAAAAAUCAUCUCUAAAAUGGUUAUUACCAUGAAAACUUUAGUCAUGUUUGUUUUCACUACUUUUUUCAUUAUAUCUUUUGUUGAUUCACUUGAUUGUCAUCCUCCAACGGCAGUUACCAUUCCUGCUAAUUCUCCAAGUUAUGGAUUAAGUAUGGGUACAAUAAUAUGCUUCAGACUCACAGUGUCAUGUUAUUCUGGAGGCUUCGUACAGUGCAAAAGGAUUUGUGAGGUGCGGAAUUAUUAUUACAAGCAGUGUAGUCAGGAUGAAUGUUAUUGUGAAACAAUAAGUAAGCGUCGAAGAUAAAAUUGUUUGAUGUUUGUUUGAAAUAAACAUCAAUAGCUUUCAUGCAUUUUCACCAAUAGAUGCUAAAAAAUAAAAUAAAUAAAGUUUAUCAAAUUGAAAUAA